UAUAUUAAUAAAACUAUUAUUGUUAAACCCACAGUCAUUCAAAACGCCAGCGUUGCAGACCAUCAUAAAAGAAGCAAACUAUUACACCCAAUGGAGAAACGGCGCCGUUUCCAUCAAGAGAGAAACCUAAUUUUACACCCACUUGACAUUGAGCUUCCCGUCUCGCCCUCUCUCUUUUUCCUUCUUUUUCUGAGCUUUCUUCUUCUCCUUCCCUCGUCUCUUCCGUUUCCAUCCCAUCUUUCUCUCACAAAUCCUCUCUCUUGUUCUUGCCGCUCACUGCCUCUUCUCUCAAUAGAGAAAUAAAAAACAACAGCUCUUAUCUUUAUUUGUGUUUUAUGAUAUUUUACAAGUUUUUUUUCCAAAUGCUACGAAUCUGAAGCUCCAUGUUUCAGAUCUAAGUUUUUUUUUUUCGUUCCUUCGGCUGAUAUCUGUUGGUUUGUUCUUAUUGAUCCGUGUUUUCCUUUUUUCUCUGCUCACUUGUUUAUUUCGCAUAAAUAAUUUUUUGUGAACUCAGUUCUGAGAUUUUUUUUUCUCAGAUUUUGUUUUUUUUUUUUUUCUAUUUCUUUUUUUUGUUUUUGAUUUUCGUUGCAGGUUUAUUUUCUUCAAAUGCAUAUAGAUCUCUAGAUCUUUUCUCUGGGUCUUCCAUUGCGAUUGUUUUUUUCCCUGGCAGUGGCGAUUUGUUUCAUUGAAGGAACUUUUUAUUUCGGAUUCCUACAGAUCUGUAGAUCUGUAGAUCUGUUCUGCUGCUUUGGAAAUGUUAAUAUUUCCUUAUUUUGUUUCCAUAUAUUUAUUUUGUAUCGAUUUCUUUAUUUCUUAGCAUUUUCUUUUCUGAACUCACACAGAUCUGAGAUUUUUUCUCAGAUCUGAAUUUUUGUUUCCUUUUUUUUUUUUCAUUUUCUGUCUUUAUUUUUUUGACUAUUAUAAUUUUUUUCUAUCAAAUCUUAAAGUUUAUUUCUCAGAUCUUGAGGAAAUUUUUUGCUGUCUGUGCAAUAAUUAUUUUCUUUUUCUUGUUUGGAAAUGUCUUUUCUUCUACCCGUUUUCUUAGUCGGUAUGGAUAAUAUUUGUUUGGAUGUGAUCUGAACACAUUUAUAAUUCGUAGGUUUUGAAAAGUUUAUUUCUUUUCGAUCUAUAUUGUUCCUCUUUUUUGUCACUAUGAGUUUCAUUCUGAGCUUAACAAAUCUGUUUACAUGUACACAUAUAAACACAUCUUUUGAUUUUUUUUGUUUUUUGUUUUAUUUGGCGAGUUCAAACUCUUUAUUGAAUUUGUUCCUUGUACAACCUUUAGGGAUCACCACAUGUAGUUUUAUUCUUCUAGUUUCCAGGCUGUAAUUUUUUAACUUGCACGCAUAGCAACUGUCUGAUAAACGUUUCAUGGUUUGUAUUUUAGCAUAUAUGUUUAGAUGAGAAAGCUUAUUUUACGGUUUGUAUUUUA